rnacentral:rRNA from 1 species
UACAGGGGGCGCGAGCGUUGCUCGGAAUCACUGGGCGUAAAGCGUACGCAGGCGGACUGUUAAGUCGGGUGUGAAAGCCCGGGCUCAACCCCGGAAUUGCAUUCGAAACUGGCAGUCUUGAGUACGGAAGAGGGGAGUGGAAUUCCUGGUGUAGAGGUGAAAUUCGUAGAUAUCAGGAGGAACACCGGUGGCGAAAGCGGCUCCCUGGUCCGAUACUGACGCUCAUGUACGAAAGCGUGGGGAGCAAACAGG